UACGUAGGGGGCGAGCGUUGUCCGGAUUUAUUGGGCGUAAAGAGCUCGUAGGCGGUUCGAUAAGUCGGGUGUGAAAACUCUGGCUCAACUCAGAGGCGCCACCCGAUACUGUUGUGACUUGAGUUCGGUAGGGGAGACUGGAAUUCCUGGUGUAGCGGUGAAAUGCGCAGAUAUCAGGAGGAACACCGAUGGCGAAGGCAGGUCUCUGGGCCGAUACUGACGCUGAGGAGCGAAAGCGUGGGGAGCGAACAGG
rnacentral:rRNA from 1 species